UCAAUGAUUUCAAUAUAUUCUCUAGAGUCAUCACUGAGAUCUGUAGUGAGAUCAACAGGAGUGAAGAGGAGAGGGGGUUCAGUCAGAGGUGAGAAAUGCUAAUCUACUAGCCUAGCAUACAUUUCCAGAACUCAUCUCUGCUGUAUGACAGGACAGUAGAGAAACACUUCACAGCCAUGUUCCUCAUGUCUUCACCAGAUCAAGGGAACCUAAGAGACAUCAACAAGGUAAACAGAACUGUACAGUACCACGGCUCCAGAACCACAGCUACUAUAUCUCAGGAGAAACGUCUCCCACCCUCUCCUCAUUGUAUGAUUGGUUUUCUCUCUGUAGAUUUUGUACAAGAGGAAGAUGAAGCCUGGGAAUCAGAAACGUUUGAUAUGAGUGAUAAUGACUAUGAGAACCCUGAUGAGGACGACAGUUAUAUCUGUGCCUUGUCUGACCGCCUGCCACCUGCAGGGGGAGAGGAGGAAGAGGGGAGUGAUGGUGACUAUGAGCCUCCUCCCUCAGCUACAGAGGAGAUCCCCCGCCUCCUCAAUCUCCCUAAGCCCCUAGGGAACAGUGACUAUAUAGGUACAGAAGAUGUACAAUUAACCAUUACUGACUGUCUUUAGUAAAUACAUACUGUAGGUACUAUAGCUCUGCUGUGUGUGUGUGUGUGUGUGUGCAGCUGCUCUUGUAUACUGUGAUACAACUAAGAUGUUUACUUCAUUUUAUUUAAUGAUCUAUGCUGUCACUGUAUCAUUACAGAAGAUGAAAGAUGGCGACCUUCAGAAGUUUCCCACCAUUCAUAUUCCGUAAGUCUAAAGUCAAAACUAUUUCACUUCAUAAACAGACAAAGUAACCCUUGUGAAGCAACUCUGGUCCCUUAAGCAAGUCUUAAUCAGUCUCCUCUACCACACACAAACCUCCUUGAAAAUCUUUUACUGAGACCAUUUAUUCUGGCUGUUACAGAAAGUGGAAAUGGACACCCACAUUCAAAUACAGUUGGUUUGGACAUGGUGUGUGUGUGGCUGUUGUAGUGCUGUACAUGUCAGGGGCUUUUAAUAACCACGAUGUGGUUACCAUAUGUGGUCUAUGUGAGGACGUGUAGCUGGAAAUAACCUGUCGAAUCUUCUAAUGAAAAGGCAGAGAGAGAGAGAGAGCAAGACAGCAUGAUGGUGUGUGUGUGUGUGUGUGUGUGUGACCUGGUGAAUAAGUGUAGCAUUUUGAUUGGUUGUGUUUGGAAAAGGAAAGCAAGUCACUUCCUGUUAGAUUUUUNGUGCGUGGAGGUCCGUCAGGAACUCUUCCUACUGGAAGGAUUCCGAGACCACCCCAGCGCCCUGGUCGUCAGGCUCUGGCCACCAGCCAUAACACAGUAAGUGUCUUCUUCAUCAUAGUCUUCAUUACACAAUCACUGUUUUCAUCCUGUCUUCUUUACAGCCCCCAUCUUUUCAUACCACUAACCUUUAACCUUUUCAUCCGCUCUUUCUUUCGUGUUACCAUCCUCCUCUCUUUCUGAGAUCAAUCAUUGUUAAUUAAUAUUCCAACUCUCGCCUGCUCUCUGUCACUCUCUUCCCCUCACUCU
ensembl:lncRNA